CUUAAAUUGAAGAGUUUGAUCAUGGCUCAGAUUGAACGCUGGCGGCAGGCCUAACACAUGCAAGUCGA
rnacentral:rRNA from 3 species